rnacentral:rRNA from 1 species
AGAUUAAGUUAUUAAGGGCGCACGGUGGAUGCCUUGGCACUAGAAGCCGAUGAAGGACGUUACUAACGACGAUAUGCUUUGGGGAGCUGUAAGUAAGCUUUGAUCCAGAGAUUUCCGAAUGGGGAAACCCAGCAUGAGUUAUGUCAUGUUAUCGAUAUGUGAAUACAUAGCAUAUCAGAAGGCACACCCGGAGAACUGAAACAUCUUAGUACCCGGAGGAAGAGAAAGAAAAUUCGAUUCCCUUAGUAGCGGCGAGCGAAACGGGAAGAGCCCAAACCAACAAGCUUGCUUGUUGGGGUUGUAGGACACUCUAUACGGAGUUACAAAGGACGACAUUAGACGAAUCAUCUGGAAAGAUGAAUCAAAGAAGGUAAUAAUCCUGUAGUCGAAAAUGUUGUCUCUCUUGAGUGGAUCCUGAGUACGACGGAGCACGUGAAAUUCCGUCGGAAUCUGGGAGGACCAUCUCCUAAGGCUAAAUACUCUCUAGUGACCGAUAGUGAACCAGUACCGUGAGGGAAAGGUGAAAAGCACCCCGGAAGGGGAGUGAAAUAGAACCUGAAACCGUGUGCUUACAAGUAGUCAGAGCCCGUUAAUGGGUGAUGGCGUGCCUUUUGUAGAAUGAACCGGCGAGUUACGAUUUGAUGCAAGGUUAAGCAGUAAAUGUGGAGCCGUAGCGAAAGCGAGUCUGAAUAGGGCGUUUAGUAUUUGGUCGUAGACCCGAAACCAGGUGAUCUACCCUUGGUCAGGUUGAAGUUCAGGUAACACUGAAUGGAGGACCGAACCGACUUACGUUGAAAAGUGAGCGGAUGAACUGAGGGUAGCGGAGAAAUUCCAAUCGAACCUGGAGAUAGCUGGUUCUCUCCGAAAUAGCUUUAGGGCUAGCCUCAAGUGAUGAUUAUUGGAGGUAGAGCACUGUUUGGACGAGGGGCCCCUCUCGGGUUACCGAAUUCAGACAAACUCCGAAUGCCAAUUAAUUUAACUUGGGAGUCAGAACAUGGGUGAUAAGGUCCGUGUUCGAAAGGGAAACAGCCCAGACCACCAGCUAAGGUCCCAAAAUAUAUGUUAAGUGGAAAAGGAUGUGGCGUUGCCCAGACAACUAGGAUGUUGGCUUAGAAGCAGCCAUCAUUUAAAGAGUGCGUAAUAGCUCACUAGUCGAGUGACACUGCGCCGAAAAUGUACCGGGGCUAAACAUAUUACCGAAGCUGUGGAUUGUCCUUUGGACAAUGGUA